rnacentral:siRNA from 1 species
UAGAGCUGCUAGAUAUUGCCC